UACGUAGGAGGCAAGCGUUGUCCGGAAUUACUGGGCGUAAAGCGCGUGUAGGUGGUGGGACAAGUCUGCUGUGAAAGCGCCUGGCUUAACCGGGCGAGGUCGGCGGAAACUGUCCGACUCGAGGACGGUAGAGGGGGGUGGAAUUCCCGGUGUAGUGGUGAAAUGCGUAGAGAUCGGGAGGAACACCUGUGGCGAAAGCGGCUUUCUGGUCCUUAACUGACGCUGAGGCGCGAAAGCAUGGGGAGCGAACGGG
rnacentral:rRNA from 1 species